ACAGGGAUUGCCCUAGUAACGGCGAGUGAAGCGGCAACAGCUCAAAUUUGAAAUCUGGCGUCUUUGGCGUCCGAGUUGUAAUUUGCAGAGGGCGCUUUGGCAUUGGCAGCGGUCCAAGUUCCUUGGAACAGGACGUCACAGAGGGUGAGAAUCCCGUACGUGGUCGCUAGCCUUUACCGUGUAAAGCCCCUUCGACGAGUCGAGUUGUUUGGGAAUGCAGCUCUAAAUGGGAGGUAAAUUUCUUCUAAAGCUAAAUACUGGCCAGAGACCGAUAGCGCACAAGUAGAGUGAUCGAAAGAUGAAAAGCACUUUGGAAAGAGAGUUAAAAAGCACGUGAAAUUGUUGAAAGGGAAGCGCUUGCAGCCAGACUUGCCUGUAGUUGCUCAUCCGGGUUUUUACCCGGUGCACUCUUCUACGGGCAGGCCAGCAUCAGUUUGGGCGGUUGGAUAAAGGUCUCUGUCAUGUACCUCCUUUCGGGGAGAUCUUAUAGGGGAGACGACAUGCAACCAGCCUGGACUGAGGUCCGCGCAUCUGCUAGGAUGCUGGCGUAAUGGCUGUAAGCGGCCCGUCUUGAAACACGGACCAAGGAGUCUAACAUCUAUGCGAGUGUUUGGGUGUCAAGCCCGAGCGCGUAAUGAAAGUGAACGGAGGUGGGAACCUUUCGGGGUGCACCAUCGACCGAUCCUGAUGUCUUCGGAUGGAUUUGAGUAAGAGCAUAGCUGUUGGGACCCGAAAGAUGGUGAACUAUGCUUGAAUAGGGUGAAGCCAGAGGAAACUCUGGUGGAGGCUCGCAGCGGUUCUGACGUGCAAAUCGAUCGUCAAAUUUGGGCAUAGGGGCGAAAGACUAAUCGAACUAUCUAGUAGCUGGUUCCUGCCGAAGUUUCCCUCAGGAUAGCAGUAACGUUUUCAGUUUUAUGAGGUAAAGCGAAUGAUUAGAGGCCUGGGGGUUGAAACAACCUU
rnacentral:rRNA from 2 species